rnacentral:rRNA from 1 species
UUUAUCAAAAACAUCGCCUCUUGCAAAACUAACGAAUAAGAGGUCCCGCCUGCCCGGUGACUUUAUGUUUAACGGCCGCGGUAUUUUGACCGUGCAAAGGUAGCGCAAUCACUUGUCUUUUAAAUGGAGACCUGUAUGAAUGGCAUCACGAGGGCUUAACUGUCUCCUUUCUUAAGCCAAUGAAAUUGAUCUUCCCGUGCAGAAGCGGGAAUAAAAACAUAAGACGAGAAGACCCUAUGGAGCUUUAGAUACUAAGACAGCCUAUGUCAAAAAACCCGCAAUAACGGGACUGAACUAAAUGGGACCUAUCCUAAUAUCUUCGGUUGGGGCGACCCUGGGGAGAUAAAGAACCCCCAUGUGGAAUGAAAGCCUUGCUUUCAAAACCAAGAGCCACCACUCUAAGUAAGCAGAAUUUUUGACCAUCAGGAUCCGGCAUGGCCGAUCGACGGACCGAGUUACCCUAGGGAUAACAGCGCAAUCUCCUUUUAGAGACCCUAUCGACAAGGAGGUUUACGACCUCGAUGUUGGAUCAGGACAUCCUAAUGGUGCAGCCGCUAUUAAGGGUUCGUUUGUUCAACGAUUAAAGUCCUACGUGAUCUGAGU